rnacentral:sRNA from 2 species
GUGCGGCCGACGACAAACCGUGGAUGGAGGCGGGGGACCCAACCGGUCCACCGAAGAAAUCAGGACCAGGAGCCUCGGCUCCUUGGGGUGAAGCCUGCUUAGCAGGCCGGGCAACCUCUCCAGCCCGAACCCGACAGCUGACCUCGCAGGCGUUGACGAGAGGACUG